rnacentral:rRNA from 1 species
UGGGGAAUAUUGCACAAUGGAGGGAACUCUGAUGCAGCGACGCCGCGUGAACGAAGAAGGCUUUCGAGUCGUAAAGUUCUUUUAUAUGGGAAGAUAAUGACGGUACCAUAAGAAGAAGCCCCGGCUAACUACGUGCCAGCAGCCGCGGUAAUACGUAGGGGGCUAGCGUUGUCCGGAAUCACUGGGCGUAAAGGGUUCGCAGGCGGAAAUGCAAGUCAGGUGUAAAAGGCAGUAGCUUAACUACUGUAAGCAUUUGAAACUGCAUAUCUUGAGAAGAGUAGAGGUAAGUGGAAUUUUUAGUGUAGCGGCGAAAUGCGUAGAUAUUAAAAAGAAUACCGGUGGCGAAGGCGACUUACUGGGCUCAUUCUGACGCUGAGGAACGAAAGCGUGGGUAGCAAACAGG